rnacentral:lncRNA from 1 species
GACCCUCCCCUCUCGGAAAAGAACAAAAACAGUGCUCUCAUCUGGAAGAAGCUCUCAUCUUCAACAGAGCAACCAUGACCCCUCCCCUUUGAUCCUCUAAAAAGAAACGCAGCAGCGGCGCAACAAAGGGCCAAAAAACGGGAUAAUCAGUCCCUUCUUCUUCUCCAUCUUCUUCACUCUCUCUAAUGGCUGUCACCGUCGACUCAGGUCAGUGACCAUCGACGACCACACUGCACCCAUGCUCUUCCUCUCUUAUUCUCACCGGUAAGUUAAGGCCAGAAUCAGGCCAGCCACCGAACCCCCAUGAUUUCCUCCUCCGGAAAGACUCCUUUUCUUGAAUAAUAUAUAUAAAAAAUAAUAACAAAAAGAGAAGAUUGGAAAAGCUGGUCUGAUUUCAAAUGCUAUGGUUCAAAAAUUUCUGGUGGAUUGAGUCAAUUUCGGACCUAAAUCGAAGUUGUGUUGUUGUUUGUGCAUUGCUGGACUCUUCUUGUCUUCGCGCGCUUCGUUUGGCUUGUAAAUAUUUCGUUUGGUUGGCUUCAAAUUAGCUGAGUUUGAUCGUCUGGAUUUCAGACCUUUAUUUGGUCUCAGUUUCCAUUGAUUUCCUGUUUUAGGUAAGUUACACUCGUCUGUAAUCACUUAUUGAAUUUAUGACUGGAACAUGAGUUUGUUUAUGCUAAAUUACUGUUUCUACUUAUGUUUUCGAAAUGGUAUGUUCAAUUUGAAAUCAUUUGUCAUCUUAGUUGAGCUUUGCUUCUAGUGCUGAUGUUAGUGAUAUUGAUUCAAUUUGUGGUUUGAAGUUAGAAUCGAUUAGUCCAUGGAUUUGACCACUAGUUGGUCAAAUUCAACAACUGAAGGAGU